GUGGUCACUUUGGUAGCACGUAUACCAAAAUUGGAAUGAUACAGAGAAGAUUAGCAUGCCACCUGCGCAAGGAUGACAAUUUUUUCUUUUACUUUUUUUCUUUCUUU
ensembl:snRNA U6 U6 spliceosomal RNA